rnacentral:rRNA from 1 species
GCACAAGCGGUGGAGCAUGUGGUUAAUUCGAUGAUACGCGAGGAACCUUACCUGGGCUCAAAUGUAUGUUGACGUAUUCUGAAAGGGAUACUUCUUCGGACAAUAUACAAGGUGCUGCAUGGUUGUCGUCAGCUCGUGCCGUGAGGUGUCGGGUUAAGUCCCAUAACGAGCGCAACCCCUAUCAUUAGUUGCCAUCAGGUCAAGCUGGGGACUCUAAUGAAACUGCCUACGCAAGUAGUGAGGAAGGUGGGGAUGACGUCAAAUCAGCACGGCCCUUACGUCCAGGGCUACACACGUGCUACAAUGGCCGGUACAAAGGGCAGCUACCUGGUGACGGGAUGCUAAUCUCAAAAGCCGGUCUCAGUUCGGAUCGGAGUCUGCAACCCGACUCCGCGAAGCUGGAAUCGCUAGUAAUCGCGCAUCAGCCAUGGCGCGGUGAAUACGUUCCCGGGCCUU